rnacentral:rRNA from 1 species
UACGUAGGGACCAAGCGUUGUUCGGAUUUACUGGGCGUAAAGUGUGCGCAGGCGGCGUUGCAAGUCGAGUGUGAAAUCCCCGAGCUUAACUUGGGAAUUGCGCUCGAAACUACGAUGCUCGAGUGUGGCAGAGGAAGGUGGAAUUCCACGUGUAGCGGUGAAAUGCGUAGAGAUGUGGAGGAACACCGAUGGCGAAGGCAGCCUUCUGGGCCAACACUGACGCUCAUGCACGAAAGCGUGGGGAGCAAACAGG